AAAGAAAAACCAAGUGAAAAUUGUCUUAGAAUAUCACUAUCUGCAUCAUACUAAAAGUUCAUUUAAAGGGAAACAACUCUUGCCUUCACUUUGGCUGAUUAUGUCUAUUUGUCCCUGUAGGUUUCAACGAUGGACAAGGUGCAGAGAAAUCCAUCUCUUCUGACGCUGUACUCCGUCCUGAAGGACUUCAGGGGGGAACAUACGGACUUUGAGGCCCUCGCCUCUUAUUACGAACAUCACUACCGGGUCGAAUACAGCGAGAACAUCGUCCUAAAGCACUUCCUUCUUACGUGCGAAGUGGACCCGAGGAUGAGGGCCAAGGAGAACAUUAUCCUGUACUGGAAAAUGCUCAACUCACUGGAAGUGAUCAAGAGGGAAUAUGCCGCCCUCAGGAAGUCUGCCAAGCUGCCUCCUGAUCAUCCAACUCGAGUCCAAAACCGGAGGCAGCAACUUGAGUAUCUGCGGCUGGAGAAUACCAUCAACCAACACCUUAACCAGCUGCACAACGAGUUUGUGAGAGAGCAGAAGCUACAGGAAGCUGCUCGUAAGAAACAAAGUCCUGCAGCUGAAGAAGAGGAGGAGGAUGAUGGAGCCCCUGCAGCAGCAGCAGAAGAGGAAGCCGCUCCUGGAGAAGAAGAAGAGGAAGCUCCAAUAAAGAAAAAGAGGAAAGCGCUCCCGCUGAAGAUAAGCAACUUCGUGAAGAGGAGGAGAAAGAAGACGGAGCGGAAGUAGGAGGUUCUGCAGAAGAACAUCAAGCCCCUGCAGUGGAGGAGAAGAAGACGGAGGCGCAGUCUCCUGCAGGGGAAGAAGAACAGGUAGGACCUCCUGAAGAAAACAAAGAGAAAACUCCUGUAGCGGAGGAGAAAGAAGAGGGAGCGGAUGGAGAAGAAGAAGCUCCUGAGGUGGAAGAGAUCAUCAAAGAUCCUCCGGUGGUGGAGAGGCCAACCCUGCGAAAACAGCUUAGGAAGGCCAUCAUGAAGAGGCUCCGGAGAGUAUGGCAUUCCACCCAAAGACUCAACUGCUGCUGCCGACCCAACACCAUGGCCUAAAUCCUUCCGGUUUACCUCUCCCAAGGGCGUAUGUCUGUGUGUCUGUCUGUCUGUGUGUUUGUGGGUUAUGUACAGAAGGGAGUGUGGGAGUUGUAUACAAGAGUGGGUGAGGGGUUAUGUACAGGAGGGAGAGUGAGGGGUUAUGUACAGGAGUGGGGUGAGGGAUUAUGUACAGGAGGGAGAGU